CCUUUAAGAAAAACCGAGGGAAGGGCAGCAGCGGUGUGUCCUGCUGCCCUUCAGUCAAGACAACCUGGAAUUCCAGCCACAGCCCCAUCCCUCCAUGUAGAAGGGGUACAGGAACUGCCUGUUUAAGGAAUUCUUAACAAAUAGGAAACACAUAGUCCUGAAUCUAAAACCCUUAUCAAAAUGGUGGAAUCCCUGAGCCAAGCUACCGCCGAUAUAGUUUUUUCCACCAGAAAAGUAUUUUAGUUUGAGGGGAACGUUGUCAGAACGUCAUCAAAGAAGAAAAGCCGAAGUGGGGGAAGAGAUGGGCCCUGCGUGUGCGGAUGUCGCCGGGGUGAGGGUUGACUCCCGCAGCUGCAGAACCGACUCUUGGGAAAGACCGAAGAUUUCUCACUGCUGGCGCUGGGUUUCUGUUGGGGGUCGGGGCAGGGGUGUCCCUGGGUUUUGUUCUCAUGGGCAGAUUCAUUCUGAGUCCUUCCUUAAGGCCAAGCUAACCCCGCGCUCCCGGAAAAGCACUCCACACGACUACACCAGCACAACAAAAGGCGCCUCCCGAAUCAGCAGAUGUGGCUUCUUUUAGCUGAAUAAUCCGUUAAAGGAAUAAUAAUUUUUAAAAAGGAGAUCGACCUCACCCAAAGAGGACGGCGAGCGAGAUUAGGGCUUGUAGAUCUACUGCCUUUGGUGGGGCUGACUGGAACGCUGCGGACUGUGACCAGUCUCUUAAAAAGAAGAACAAAAAGAGGAAGACCCUGAGUGGAUCCUCGGACAAAGCGCUUUGGGCUCGGCGUGAAGGGACGCGCGGGAGAGCUGGCAGGGGAGAACGAGUGGUCCCCCGUGCCGAAGGGCGCCCGCCGGGCGUGCGGACCUCUGAGGCUAUUCGUCUUGAAUUUUUUUCAGCCUUUUGGGACCCAGCGCAUUAGACAAGAGUGACCUUUUAAAUCUGUGCCCACGCUUUACCUGCGAGAGGACUGCAGCAGCCGAGUUCCGGAAGGCUGAUUCCCCAGAUCCCGACCCCGGACCCCGGCAGCUCGCCCCUGCGGCACGCCCGGCCCGGCUGCGCCAGGACUCAGCGAGCGAGGAAAAAGCCUGGAUCCGAAAGGAUGCGGGAGAACAAAGAGCCUUUGGAAGACGUCGCUGUUAUCUCAUUGUCUGUGUGAUUGGGGGAGCUGCGGUAGGGAGGAUGCUGUGGUCCUUUUUCUCCCUGCUCUCCCCCACCCCCACGUCUCUCCCCGCUGUCAGUGCGCACGCACACGCGCCGCUUUUUACUUGUUUUUCCUUGUUUUCUCAUUCCAUCUUCUCCCCAUCCCCCUUCCUUUCUUCC
rnacentral:lncRNA from 1 species